rnacentral:pre_miRNA from 1 species
CUUGUACUCCUUCCGUCCGAAAAUACUUGUCAUUGAAAUGGAUGUAUCUAGAUGUAUUUUAGUUCUAGACACAUCCAUUUUGAUGACAAGUAAUUCUGGACGGAGGGAGUACUUG